GCGCCCGUAGCUCAGUUGGAUUAGAGCACCUGGCUACGAACCAGGAGGUCGGAGGUUCAAUUCCUUUCGGGCGUG
rnacentral:tRNA from 1 species